AGACCUAACACAACACAAUCAGCACAGCAUUCGAUCGCUCAAAACGGUUUGCAGUACUCAACGAUUCAAAAACAAAAAUUAUCACAACAUUCAAACAUCAAUAUGUCCGGAAAACUCAUCAUCUUUUUCUUGGUAGCUGUCGCUCUGGCUUGCAUUGGUUCCGCCACCGCCCAAUAUGUCGUCUACCCUACAGCUCCGGUUGUAUCUUCCUAUUACAACCCUUACGGAUACACCUACCCCUUGACUUACAACUACAGGUUCGGUGCUUACCCAUAUCUCUUGCGCCGUUGAUUACAUUGCUAUGUAUCUCUAUUUUCCAAUUGAAUACGUCUUGAAGAAGAAUACAGUCUUCACGCCAAACGAUGCAUAAACUGUUUUAAUAAUUCGGUUAAAAAAAAAAAUGUAAUAUAUUUUUAAAUAUUUAAUCAUUAUAUAUUUAUUAUAA